CGAAGGGCCACUACCGCCGAU
rnacentral:siRNA from 1 species